UUCUUUUGUUUUAGAUCUUGAUGUUUGUGCUGAGUUAUUUCUGUGGAUGUUGUUUACUGGACUCAUUUUUCUAGUUUUUGUGAAAGGCAGUUUUUUGUUUUUAAGAUUUUAAUUUUUUCUUUUCUUUUCUUUAUGCAGGGACCUACAGAAGAAAAGCCAUCCAUCAAGUGGACGGAAAAUUCUGAUUGCAGGAUUUUUAAAUUAAAUGGGCAUGUUGGUUGCUGAAAUCAUGUUCCCUAAAUGGUAAGUUGCGAGUUAAUAUUUAAAGUUUUUUUCAGCAGGAAGAGUGUGGUGGGAGAAUUCCACCCCGUCCGAUCUGGUUGAAUUCACACAACCGAAAAAAAGUGUCUGGUCCCCGUUCUUAUGCUGAGACCCGUACGAAUUGUUUAGCUGGGUCUCUGAACGACUAGCUAAAAAAUAGCUUUACGUACGUAGUGUCCAAAUGCCACCUAAAGAGAAAGAACCUUCUCGAUACUUAAAACGAAAAUGGGGAGUUGAAGAAGCAUAUUUGGAUCUGCAGCUACAUAUGAAGGAACAAAUAGAAUUGUCUAUCAGUGACGGCAUUGGCAUUGGCUGAUGACGAGUUAUUUGGAAACAACACUUACGAAAGGUGAUAUGGAUGAUUACAUUUUUAUGGAAGGCCUGAAAGACUGUGAUCGUGGCAAUUACCUUGCUUUAGUUUGCUUGGAAUAUAAACUGAAACAUAGACUAUCUAAUGCUGCGUUCAAGGAUCAUCUGAGAAUUCUGAAAUUGUUUACUGGAUCAACUGUCAAAGAAAUGACAAGUGCAGCCAAGUGUGCAGAAAAAUAUGAGAAGGUUAUACAACCAACUAAGAAGAUCUUUGUAUGCAAUGAAAAAAACUGCGAUACUGUACUGAAAACUGGUGCCGAUGGUGUACCUUUAGCUUCACAGCCAUGUGGCCAUCGCUUUAGCAAGGAAACAAAAAAUUACUAUUUUUUAGUGCUAUCUAUCGAGCAACAAAUUCAGUAUUUGUUGGAGAGUGGCGCAGCUCAAUGGUUUGUAAUAAGCAGAACAACUGUGACGGUAAAACAAGAGGAGAUAUUCAAACUGGAGACUUGUAUCGAGACAAAGUUAGAAUCACUGAUGAGCCAGUUACAUCACUCUGCAACUUAACACAGACGGAGCUGAGUGUCACAAAAAAAGCAAAUUUACUUUUUGGGCAUUUAUGGGAGUACCUAACGAACUCCCUUACUGGUUAAGAAGAUCAAAUAUUCUCUUAUUCGCCUUAUGGUACGGUAACAAAAAGCCCCCAAGUGGACCUUUCCUUGAAGCCUCAAUAUCGGAACUCCAGCAGCUUGGGACCAAAGGAGUGCAGUUCAAUCAACGAACUUAUUUGGUGAAGCCAUUAAUUCUCACAACAGAUUCCAUGGCACGCAGUGUUUUUCUAAAUGGUUCCACUUUCCGAGGAGAGUGUGGAUGCGAUUUUUGUCUUCAUCCUGGAGAGAUGGUUAAAAUUGGCCGUGGAAGUACAAGUGUGUACCCCGAACCGACCUCAAAUCCUACUUUUGCACCGAGAACUAUUGAACAGCACGAACGUGAUCUGAUGGUAUUUCAAUACUGUUCUGGGUAACGGGAAACGCCUCAACGGAAUUAAAGGCCCUUCUCCAUUUUUGGCUCUUUUUGAUUUUGAUUACGUCGAGGCGCAAGUACCGGAUUAUCUGCAUUGUGUCUGCCAAGGAGGAAUUAAGUUUCUGGUGGACUUAUGGACAUUGACCAAAUAUUUUAAACAACCUUGGUACUUGAAUGAAAAAAAAAAAAAUUUUAGAUGCUCGUCUGAAGCAAAUGAAGCCACCUUAUGAGAUAACACGGACGUCCAGCCCAUUGUCUGAUAUAGGUCAGUGGAAAGCAUCCAACUUCAGAGCUUUUGCUUUGUACUACUUCACAGCGCUUGAAGACCUCCUGCCGAAGGUGUAUUUCGAUCACUUUCUGUGCCUCAUAUAUGGAAUUCAAGUCUUGUUACAAGAGGAGGUAUGUAACAGUUAACCUCGUUCAAGAAAUGGAUUUCCUUUUUCAACACUUCGUUCGUGAAGCUGAAGUUUUAUAUGGACAUCAAAACAUGCGUUUCAAUUUCCACUUGAUAACGCAUUUAGCUCGUGCUACGCUAAAUUGGGGAUGCAUUUGGAGCUGGUCGACCUUCAUUCCAGAGUGGUUCAAUGGCGUUUUGGUGUCAUCGACUAAUGGGACACAGUGCGUUCCAGAGCAAAUGGUGAAAAAUCUUCUCAUGAAAAAAGCUUUACGUUCGGAUGCAAUUACUCUAAUGUUAAAGUACAACUUGCCGCAAAACGU